CAGCCGCCACGGUAAUACGUAGGGUGCAAGCGUUAAUCGGAAUUACUGGGCGUAAAGCGUACGCAGGCGGUUAUAUAAGUCAGAUGUGAAAUCCCCGGGCUCAACCUGGGAACUGCAUUUGAGACUGUAUGGCUAGAGUGUGUCAGAGGGGGGUAGAAUUCCACGUGUAGCAGUGAAAUGCGUAGAUAUGUGGAGGAAUAUCGAUGGCGAAGGCAGCCCCCUGGGAUAACACUGACGCUCAUGCACGAAAGCGUGGGGAGCAAACAGGAUUAGAUACCCCAGUAGUCCCUGUCUCUUAUAC
rnacentral:rRNA from 1 species